rnacentral:snRNA from 1 species
GUGCUUGCUUCGGCAGCACCAUAAUACUAAAACUGGAACCAUACAAAGAUUAGCAUGGCCCUUGCACAAGGAUAACAUGGAGAUUCGUGAAGAGUUCCAUAUUAAA